rnacentral:snRNA from 1 species
AUUGCUUCUUGGCCUUUUGGCUAAGAUUGAGUGUAGUAUUGUUCUUAUCAGUUUAAUAUAUUUUGGAUACUAGACCUUUAUUCGACAUGUCAUUUGCAACUAUC